GCUGAAAGUGACAUCAAAGAUGUCCUGUACUUUGUUGAAAGGUUUCCCCAUCUCCUCCCAUACCAUGGGCCAGAGGAGCAUGACCUUCUGGGUGAGGAGUUUCUAAAUUAUCAGACCAUGCCAAUGAUAUCCCUGCAGGACGAAACUGAAAUGGCAAGCUUCUUGGCUGAAAUGGCAACCCGGAAGCAUAAGGUGACAGGAGCCAAAGAAUUCGAGAGGCUUGCUGCCGUCGCCAAGCUUGUCCUGGUGUUGCCCCAUGCAAACUCACAUGCUGAGAGGGUGUUUUCAGUUGUGGGACUGAACAAAACCAAGAGAAGAAACAGCCUAGCAAUCUGGAGCCCUGCUUCAAAUGGGAGCCCCCCUCCGAUAUCAUCAAGGCCUCCAAGAAGGCCACAGGCCAGUAUAACCAUGCCGACAGGAUCUUUAUAUUUUC